GACGAACGCUGGCGGCGUGCUUAACACAUGCAAGUCGAACGGAAAGGCCCUGCUUGCAGGGUACUCGAGUGGCGAACGGGUGAGUAACACGUGGGUGAUCUGCCCUGCACUUCGGGAUAAGCCUGGGAAACUGGGUCUAAUACCGGAUAGGAGCCAUUUUUAGUGUGAUGGUUGGAAAGUUUUUUCGGUGUAGGAUGAGCUCGCGGCCUAUCAGCUUGUUGGUGGGGUAAUGGCCUACCAAGGCGGCGACGGGUAGCCGGCCUGAGAGGGUGGACGGCCACAGUGGGACUGAGAUACGGCCCAGACUCCUACGGGAGGCAGCAGUGGGGAAUAUUGCACAAUGGGCGCAAGCCUGAUGCAGCGACGCCGCGUGGGGGAUGACGGCCUUCGGGUUGGAAACUCCUUUCGCUAGGGACGAAGCUUUUUGUGACGGUACCUAGAGAAGAAGCACCGGCUAACUACGUG
rnacentral:rRNA from 1 species